rfam:Ipomoea nil DNA, scaffold: scaffold3322, cultivar: Tokyo-kokei standard.
GCCUUCUUAGCUCAGUGGUAGAGCGCGUGGCUUUUAACCACGUGGUUGUGGGUUUGAUCCCCAUAGACGGUG